CCGAGGUCUGCUCGUUACUUGGGCUCUCAAUCAAUGAUCAAUUUGAGGAGAACCCAUUUGAGUUUUGAGCCUAGAAUCCUAAAACAGAGCAUCAAAUGGGAGGGUGGUUGGACAAGGAGUGAAGAUCAUUUGAAGGAGAAGANNNNNACCGAGGGUGCGUGGUGAAGUGUACAGCAGAGAGUAUAGAGAGAGGAAUAUUGAUGGGAGGAAAAGAGGGUGAAAUUAGUAUGGUAUCAGAGAGGUACAAGGUGGUGGCUUUAACGGCGUGCGUUAUGUGCCUUUGUAAUGCUGAUCGUGUUGUUAUGUCUGUCGCUGUUGUUCCUCUUGCUGCCAAAUACGGCUGGGGGCGG
rnacentral:misc_RNA from 1 species